rnacentral:rRNA from 1 species
UACGUAGGGACCAAGCGUUGUCCGGAAUCAUUGGGCGUAAAGAGCGUGUAGGCGGCCUGUUAAGUCUUGCGUGAAAUCUCGGGGCUCAACCCCGAGCGGUCGUGAGAAACUGGCAGGCUAGAGUGCGGGAGAGGAGAGUGGAAUUCCUGGUGUAGCGGUGAAAUGCGCAGAUAUCAGGAAGAACACCCGUGGCGAAGGCGGCUCCCUGGGACGGUACUGACGCUGAGACGCGAAAGCGUGGGGAGCGAACAGG